rnacentral:lncRNA from 1 species
GUUUUGAACUUGAUUUUUAAGAAGUAUGCAAAUUUUGAAUUGAGAUCAAUGAUUUAUUCAUUAGAUAUUGAGGUUUAAAUCUGUCAUAGGAAUUACUAGGAUUUGGAUUAGGAUUUGGUUAGGGUUUGAUUUAAGGUUUGGUUUAGGGUUUAGAAUUUAGAUUAGGGUUUGGUUUAGGGUUUGGAUUAGAAUUUGGACUAGGAUUUGGUUAGGGUUUGAUUUAAGGUUUGAUAUCAUAGAUUUAAUUUAGGAUUUGGAUUAGGGUUUGGUUAGGAUUUGAUUUAAGGUUUGGUUUAAGGUUUAGGAUUGGAUUAGAGUUUGGUUUAGGGUUUGAUUUAGGGUUUGGUUUAGGGUUUAGGAUUUGGAAUAGGAUUUUAUUUAAGAUUUUUUUAGGAUUUGACUUAGAGUUUAGGAAUUAUUAGGAUUUAAGAUUUAAUUAGGUUUGAUCUAAAGUUGAGUGAAAUUCAAUAGGGUUUUAACUAGAAUUAAAUUAAGGUUGAAUUGACAUAUAUUUGAGUAAAAUUUGUGAUCAUUCUAAUAUUUUUUUAAGAAUUUUAUUGUUUGUUUGAAAUUUCUUUGAGUUGUUUUGAAUUGGAUUACGUUUGUUUACCAUUAUUAUAGUCUAAUUAGAACAUUGUUAGUAUUCUAUUUAGGAUUUUGUUAUCACAAUUUCUAUUCUUCCUGCUACAGCCAGGUGCCCGAAGCAUUCUCAAGGAAGACUUCACACAUUACGACAUAUUUGGUGAAUCCAACGUGAAAUGCUUGAAGUGGAAGGAAUUUAUUAUUAUUUUUUUUAUUUGAAUUUUGGAGAAGGAAUUAAAGGAGAAUGGAAGGAGGCAAUUUGGAUAGUGCUUGAAGUGGAGUUAGAAGAAGAGCUUCAUUUGGAGGACAAAGUAUGCAUUUUGAUCCUUACUCCACAAGCAUGUUUGAAGCUUUGACCUUAUUCAUGCAACAACAAGAGCAACAGGUUAAAGAUCACAAAGAGAGUAUGGCUAACAAAGCAUUACAAGCGGUCGUGGACAAGAUCGAUUAAUUUGAAGGAAAGGAUAUUACAAAAUAUUUAAGAUGUUAUGUAAAGGAAAUGGAAUUGAAGCGUGUUUCAGAAAGUGAGAUGGUUCAAUUAUUUGAAUUAGCCUCUGCACGAGAGAUAAGAAAUCAAGUUAAGUUUCUUAUUCAACACUUUGGAGGUUCAUGGGAGAAAUUUUCUCAAGCUUUGAAGGGUGAGUUUUUUUUAGAAGAUAGUGAUAGGGUUACAAAAAGGUAUUUUUUUUUAAUGGAUUGAAAAGCCAAAGAAGGAUCUUCUAGCAAUAGAAUUAUUAAAGGAGUUUGAAAAGUAAUAUUCUUCUUUAUCAAAGAAAGAAAGACAGUUAUUGGAUCUAAGUAAGGUGGAGUUCUUUCUUCAAACAGCUGAUGGAAAGUUGCAAGAGAAGUUGGAAUUCAUGCUUGAAGAUAAAGAAGAAGAUGAAGGAUUGACAACAAAUUGGAAAAGGGUAGAAGAUGCUGUAAGGGCGAUGACAAAAAGAGAAAAGAGAAAAGAUAUGGGGGGUGAUCAAAGACCAUUACAACCAUCUAAGAUAAAGGUGUCUAGUAUCCAUCCGACAUCUUUAAUUCAACCUUCAAUGGCUACAUCAAAGAAAGAAGAAACAGGAAUUGAUGAAAUCAUACGUGAGAUGAGAGAUUUGCAAAUAAAAUUUAUAAAACUUGAAGAGAAAGGUCAAUCAUCAAGAAUAUCAACAAAACAAAGACCAAGGCCAAUGGAGGGUGUAGUACAUAGAUGCAUGUGGUGUGAUAGCAUAGAUCACUCGAAGAAGGAAUGUGAUAACAUUCGACAAAUUACUGGAUGGGAUGAUCCAGUAGAUAGACUAUCUGUACAUGCUCAUAUUGCAAGGAGUCAACAUGAAGCAUUAAUAGAAGAAAAGUGAAGGAGAGAUGAAAAUAAUGAAGGGCCCUCAAAAAGAAUUACAAGGGGAGAAAAAACACGACAAGAAAAGAAUUCUAUACAUGAAGAGACAAUAGAGAGCAUUUCUACAAAAGAGAGGGAAAUUGAAAAAGAAAAAGCAAAGGCUCCUGCUUAUAAAUUACAAUUAGAUAUUGAAGCAGCUACAGAUUUGAAGAAGGUAUUGGAGGAGCGGAUUUUAAGUAGAAAGGUUGAAUUCACAAUUGAUGAAAUUCUAGGAAUUGCAAAGCGUGAGUUUCAUGAAGUUAUUAUUGAUACAAUAAAGAGAAAACGACAAUCUAUAGGAGACUCUAUGACAUCAAAUGCACAAGGAACAAGAGCAAUGAAAAGAAAUGAAGAUGAAGAAGAUGAAAUACAAAAUUUUGGAGAUGUCUUGUGAUUAAGGUUUGUAGAAAAAAAGAUGUCAUUCAAGCUUCUAGCCAUUAUUCUAGAAGUCAUUGGACAAGGGCUACAAUGAAGACUUUAAUAAAAUUGGGAAAUUUAGAAGAACUAGUUGUAGCAUUAAUUGAUCAUGGUUCUGAAAUCAAUUUGAUGUCAAAGGAAUUAUAUAACAAGGAAAAAUAGCCUAUUGAUACUGAACAUAGGUGGAUGAUAAGAGCUACAAAUAAUUCAAAGGGAGAUUUAUAUAGAGCAUGUCCAAAUAUCAAAGUGACAAUUGGAGAUAUUAUUCAUGAACAAAAUUUCUUUGUGCAAGAUAUGUCUACAUAUCCUAUUAUAUUGGAACAACUAUAUAUUAUUUCCACACGAAUAGAAACAAAAGGAAUGGAUGAUGGUUCAGCUUAUGCAAGAAUAAGAAGCCAAGAUGGGAUGAAAGCAAUUCAAUUUUUAACUGUUUGUGCUAAUCAUGAGAGAAAUCAUAAUAAGUUGAGAGAGAAACCAAUAUCAAAUGAGAAAUUUGAAGACCUUGAGGAUUUUUACCACACACCAUUGUAAGGUGGGGUUGCAAAGGAUUAGAGAAAGAAAUACUCCCGCUUAAUUUAAAAAAAGAAUUAUUAUCUACUGAACUUAUUGGGAUGACACAAGUUUGUGUAUUGAAUUUUAAGACUAUUGACAAAAUAGAAAAGAGGGACAGAUUUUAUAUUAAAAAUGUAGAGAAAAAUUUGAAAGAAAAUGGAGAAUUGGUUGAAAAUGAAUUUAUUUCAGGAACGUAUGAAGAAGUAGGUUUUGUAGAUACUAUGGGGGAAUUAAAUUAUCUAUUACAAUGUGGGUUACAAGUAGAGAAUAGAGUUAUUAAUAUGUAUUCUAAAGAAUUUUAUAAUGAAAUUCAAGGAUUUAAAGAAAAUUUAAGUCGCCAAGAGGUAUAUGUUGAAACUAAGUAUAAAUCAGUAACAAAGAAGGUCAAACCAGUGGCUUUGCCCCUACCAUGUGAUUGUGAAGAAACGAUAAGUGGAACAUCAAUACAACCAAAUCUAAGAGAUCUAAGGAAGAUAGGGCAUAAAUUUACGGAUGUUAUAUUAGAUGGAUUAAAUGUUGGAGGUAUGGAUUUUUAACAAAAUAUGAAGAAAAAUAUUUUAGGAAUAUGCUUUCACAUCAUGGAAAAGCUUUUGCAUUUGAAGCACAUGAAAUUGGAUGUGUUGAUCCAAAUAUUGUAGCACCCAUGGUUAUUUUUACUAUUCCUCAUGAACCAUGGAAUUUGCAACUAAUUCCAGUACCAAGAGCGUAUUUAUCUAAGUUAGUAGAUUUACUCAAUGAAAAGAUUAAAAUGGGAAUUUUGGAACCAUCUAUAGCAUCUUAUUCUAAUCGAUGGUUUACAAUGCCAAAGAAAAAUGGAACAAUGAGAUUUAUACAAGAUAUGCAGUCCAUAAAUAAAGUGACUAUUAAAAAUAUGGAUUCAAGUCCAAUUGUGGAUGAAUUUGCAGAAGCAUUUGCUGGAAGAGCUAUCUACUCAAUGAGUGAUCUUUAUUCAGGUUAUGAUCAAUUUCAAUUGGCAAUACAAAGUAGGGAUUUGACAACUAUGAAGACACCGUUAGGAUUGGUUAGAAUGUGCACAUUACCACAAGGGGCUACAAAUUUUGUAGCACAUAUGAUGAAUGGAAUGCAUAAGGUAUUAAGAGAUUUUAUUCCAAGAAUAACAAUGCCUUUCUUGGAUGAUGUACCUAUUGAGGGAUGUGAAGAAGAAAGAAAGGAUGAAACUUUAGAUUCAAAGGAAUGUAUGAAGUUUGUGGUAGAUCAUAUUGAAGAUUGUGAAAAGAUUUUGAAAAGAUUGGAAGAAGUUCAUUUAACCUUAUUGGAGAUAAAAUCAAUGUUUGGAGUAAAAGAAAUUUUGGUGGUAGGACACAUAUGUGGUUCAUAUAGACAUAAGCCAAGUAUAGAAAAGAUUGAUAUUAUUAAAAAGAUGAAAGAAUGUACAAAUACAACGGAAGUGAGAAGAUUUUUAGGAGCAUGUAUUUUCUAUCAUAUAUGGAUACCUCACUUUGCACAUAUAGCAGAUCCAUUAUAUAAGUUGUUAAGAAAGAAUCAAAAAUUUCAAUGGAAAGAAGAACAACGAAAAGCUAUGGAAAAAUUGAAAGAACUUCUUUCUUCAUCUCCAACUUUGAAGAAAGUAAAUUAUGAAGGUGGAAGGCCAGUGGUAUUAACAGUUGAUGCAAGUCCAAUUGGAAUAGGUUGGGCGGUUGGACAAGAUGAUGAACAAGGAAAUAGAUAUGUAGUAAGAUUUGGAGCAAAGGUAUUGAAUUCUAGGCAAAGAGCAUAUGCACAAAUCAAAAGAGAAUUAUGGGGUAUAGUAAUAGCUAUGAAAAAUAAAAAAGAGUACUUGAUUGGAGCAUCAGUAGUUAUAGAAACAGAUUGUCUACCUUUGUUAGGCAUGAUUACAAGUUGUUCAACUCCUGAUAUUACUAUGUUGAGGUGGAUAGCAUAUAUCAAAUCUAUGAAUCCUGAAUUUAAACAUAUUGCAGGGAAAGAAAAUUCAGUUGCAGAUAUGUUAUCGAGAGCAAGGUAUAAUAAUGAAGAAAAGAUGAUUGAUUUAGAAGAUGAUGUGGGUACAAAAUUUUAUACCAAUGCGUUAUCAAAGGAAAAGGGCGUAUGUUUUAAUAUACCAUUAGAAUCAUUUUAAAGAGAUUUAUAUGAAAAUGAAUGGAAAGAUGUUGGAGAGUAUUUGAGCACAUUAAAACGACAAAAAGAUUGGACAGAUCAAGAAUUUAAGAAAAUUUGUAAGAAAGCCUAUGGAUAUUUUUUAUAUGAUGGAUAUUUAUGGAAGCAUCCAAAAAAGGGAGGAGAAGUACCACAAAGGAUAAUAUGUGGUUUAGAAGUUCAACAAAAGAUUAUUAAAGAAUUUCAUGAAAAUUUAUGGGCAGGGCAUCGAGGUAUUUGGGCAACAUUCACUAAGUUAAAGGAAAAAUAUUGGUGGAAGGGAAUGUACAAAGACAUAGCAAAAUUUGUAGAAUCUUGUGAGACUUGCCAAGUAUAUUCAAAUAUUCGACAUCAAGAUGGGUUACAUCCAACAUACCCUUUGGCUUUACAUUACAAAUGGGUGGUGGAUUUAGUGGCAAUGCCUAUGGGACUUGGACAAAUGAAGUAUUUGGUACUUGCACAAGAAGAUUUAUCAAAUAUGGUUGAAGGACGAGCAUGAAAAACAAAGGAUACUAAAGGUGUAUGUCGAUUUCUAUUAGAAAAAGUUAUUUGUCGCUAUAGUUGUAUUAGAAAAAUUACGACAGAUAGAAGUGAAUUGGAUGCAAAGGAAGCAUGAGAAUUCUUUAAUAAGAUAGGAAUUAAACUUUUUUUAACAACUGCAUAUAAUCCAGAAGGUAAUGGUAAAAGUGAGCGUGGGCAUUCAUCUAUUGUUAAGGCAUUAGUAAAGGCAUGCAAUGAAAAAGCACAUGAAUGGCCUAGACUACUACCAUUUGCACUAUGGACAGAUCGUACAACUCAUAGUUCAGUAACAGGUUAUAUGCCUUCUGAAUUAGUAUAUGGUCAAAAACCAGUAAUGCCAAUAGAAGAUGUAGUACCUACAUGGGGUGUAUUGCCUUGGAAGAAUGAUCUCAACAGAGAAGAACUUUUAGCAUUACGGAUUCAGCAACUAGAAAGACGACCCAACGAUAUUGAAAUAGCAAUAAAAAAAUUGAAAGAAGCAAGGAAAAAGAAUAAAAAAAGAUUUGAUAAAAAACAUCGAUUACGACCCAAGGCUAUUGAAGAUGGUAAUUGGGUAUUAGUUUAUGAUAGUAGCUUAGACAAUCGACAUAGGACUAUGAAGAAGUUUGCAAAGAGAUGGUUUGGACCUUAUAUUGUCAAAAGGGCACACAACAAUGGAACAUAUUCAUUACAAGAACUUGAUGGUACAGAAUUGAAGGUACCCAUAGCAAGCAAACGAAUCAAGUUAUUUAAACAAAGAGAUGAAGGCAUUUGUUUUGAUGAAGAACAAACUCAAAUACAAGAUAUUGAGAUUGGAAUAGAAGAGCAUAUUGAAGAUCAAGAAUUGUACCAAGAUGAAGAACAUUCUUCAUCAACAUAUUGAAGAAUCGUUGGCGCAUGCCGGAGGAUGCACAGAUUUAGGGGGGGUGGAUGUUGUGAUGUAACACGAUUAAUAGGUGAAAGAAUGUGGAGAUUAUUAUAAUUUAAGAGAUCUUAGUUCAAAUUAUUAGAACAAAUUAUCUUAGAAAUAUAGUUAAUAGCCAAAGGGGUAGAAAAAUUAAAAGGUACCAAUGCUGCCUUUUAGAAAGGUAACUUCUACUUACUUUGUAGUACCAUAAGUAAGGCAAAUCAAAGUAUAUUGGAAAAAUAAAUGAUAUAAGAAUCUUAAGAAGAAAGUUAAGAGUAAAUUCUAGAAAAAAGUUACUUAGAAAAACUAGAUAUUGAUAUCCGGAGAGGGCCGGUUAUGAACCAGGGUCGAAAUCAGAUCCUGAGGCAUAAAACCGAGUCUCGACGACGAUUGAAGGACUCUUUGGCAGAUCGGAGAAAGGGGUUAGAGAGAAGGUUGGAUAGGAUUUCUAUGGGCGUUGAUUUUGGGUGAUUUAGAGUUGAUAUGAAUUUGUAAGAGCUUUGCAAAGUUGAGUUUUUUUCGGAUGACUUGGGUUUUAUGAAAUAAAAUAGGGUUUAUGUUUUGAGUGAUUUCGAGAGUUUUGUUGCAGAUCUAUAGGUGAAUUUUUUUGGGUUCAUGGUUAUAGUUGUGUUGAAUACAUGUUGUAAAUUUGAGCUUGAUCUAAUAGUUAAACUGAGAGAUAUUGAGGUUUAAGUGAGUCAAGGUCUCAGAAAGUAGAAUUUUAGGUCCAGUGAGGGUUUUUAAGUUUUCAUGCAAUCUACUAGUUGGAUUGGAGUAAAACUUAUGUGAGAGGAUAUUAGACUUGUUUUCCUAUGUUCAUAAGAAAUUUGAAACCAAUCGAAUGGCGCAAUAAAGAGGAAUUGGCUCUGGAAGGUUGGCAACAAGAUUGGAGAAGGAGGCCGGCUAACACCCGAACACACUUUUGAGGUUUUCGUCAAUUUAGUAACUCCAAUCUUUUUCAAUUUUUUUUGCUUGUUUUGAACUUGAUUUUUAAGAAGUAUGCAAAUUUUGAAUUGAGAUCAAUGAUUUAUUCAUUAGAUAUUGAGGUUUAAAUCUGUCAUAGGAAUUACUAGGAUUUGGAUUAGGGUUUGGUUAGGGUUUGAUUUAAGGUUUGGUUUAGGGUUUGGACUAGGAUUUGGAUUAGGGUUUGGCUAGGGUUCGGUUUACGAUUUGGAUUAGGGUUUGUAUUAGGAUUUGGAUUAGGAUUUAGGAUUUGGUUAGGAUUUGAUUUAGAAUUUGGAUUAGGAUUUGGAUUAGGAUUUGGUUAGGGUUUGAUUUAAGGUUUGGUUUAGGGUUUAGGAUUUAGAUUAGAGUUUAGAGUUUAGAUUAGGAUUUAGAUUAGGAUUUAGGGUUUGGUUAGGAUUUGAUUUAAGAUUUGGUUUAGGGUUUAAGAUUGGAUUACGAUUUGAUUUAGGGUUUGGAUUAGGGUUUGGUUAGGAUUUGAUUUAAGAUUUGGUUUAAGGUUUAGGGUUGGAUUAGGGUUUGGUUAAGGAUUUGAUUUAGGGUUAAGUUUAGGGUGUAGAGUUUGGAAUAGGAUUUAAUUUAAGAUUUUUUUAGGAUUUGACUUAGGGUUUAGGAAUUAUUAGAGUUUAAGAUUUAAUUAGGUUUGGUCUAAAGUCGAGUGAAAUUCAAUAGGAUUUUAACUAGAAUUAAAUUAAGGUUGAAUUGACAUAUAUUUGAGUAAAAUUUGUGAUCAUUCUAAUAUUUUUUUAAGAAUUUUAUUGUUUGUUUGAAAUUUCCUUGAGUUAUUUUGAAUUGAAUUACGUUUGUUUACCAUUAUUAUAGUCUAAUUAGAGCAUUUUUAGUAUUCUAUUUAGGAUUUUAUUAUCGCAAUUUCUAUUCUUUUUUCUACAGCCAGGUGCCCGAAGCAUUCUCAAGCAAGACUUCA